UGGGGAAUAUUGCACAAUGGGGGAAACCCUGAUGCAGCGACGCCGCGUGAGUGAAGAAGUAAUUCGUUAUGUAAAGCUCUAUCAGCAGGGAAGAAACAGACGGUACCUGAGUAAGAAGCCCCGGCUAACUACGUGCCAGCAGCCGCGGUAAUACGUAGGGGGCAAGCGUUAUCCGGAUUUACUGGGUGUAAAGGGAGCGUAGACGGCGAAGAAAGUCUGAAGUGAAAGCCCGCGGCUUAACCGCGGAACUGCUUUGGAAACUUUUUUGCUGGAGUACCGGAGAGGUAAGCGGAAUUCCUAGUG
rnacentral:rRNA from 1 species